GGUCACCACAGAUGAACCCCAAAACCUCACACCUUCUUUUCAUGAGUUUGAAGUUCAAAAUAAUUUAAAUAUCAUGAUUCAAAACAAAUCAAAGCAAAGGGACAAUGUUUUCCGUAUUUUGUUUUUAGAGGAAAUAAGCCUCCCCAGAGCUCCGGGUUCGCGGCCCUCGCCUCCGCCCUCCACCCGCCCGGCGGAGAGCUGCCCGUCCUCGCCCCCACCCGCUGGUCACCGACUUCCCGGGAAGUUGAGCCCAGAGAGGAGGAAAUGGCCAGUGACAUGGCCAGCAUUUGAACUCAGUUCUCUGCCUCCGACUGUGGUCUCUUGCCUUCACCUCUGCUCUCUCUCAGCCUGCUCUCGCCACGCCCAGGCCCGGGUCUGCGCUCCGGGCAGACGCCAUCCCCCAGUUCCAGAAUGUGUCGCCUCCAGGCCUGCGCUCGGCCCGUUCCUCCGCCCGGAUCGCCGCCCUCCUCCUCCUGUUUGCGGCGUGAACUCCAUUCCUCCAGAUCCGGCUGAAAGGCAGCUCCCUCGAGAAGUUUUUCUGGACUCCCACCUGCAUCCAAAUAAAGGGGCGGAUUCCUCUUUCCUGCCUGGCGUGAAGAUUGCCUCCCGCGUGUGUUAAACACGUAAAUGGGGUUCGCCAGUCUCUCUCCCUCUUAAUCGCUUAUGACCUCCCUGGGCAUCCCCCCGCCGCUGCCAAAACUCGGCGGGUGGGGCGGGCCCGCAGUUGCGCGUGUUUUGCGCAGAGUGCCGGCGCGAGCGAGCGCUCAGCGGACGCGGGUGAGGUCCGCGCCGCCCCGCGCGCUGGGUCCCGUCCGUGUCCUUCACGGCGAUCGUUGUCUUCGCCGGGCUGCGAGCCUCGGGGGCGACUGUCCUCUGCAGGAAUCAGGGAGCCUCUGCUGGCUUUCCAGGCGGAGAGUUUCUUGAUCCACAGGCAGCACAGAGACUUGCUCACGGACUGAAGUUGUGGGCCGCCCGGUGUCCAGGCCCGCGCCUUUGGCGUCUGUCCCUGGAAGGGCUUCGUGUUACACAGAGGAGGCUGGGGAGGAGAAGCGCUUUGCCUUCAUUCUGUUUAUUCAAGAACGUUGCCCGCUGCUGCCUAGGAGCUGUUCUGGGCACCAGCGCUGUAGCAACGAGCGAAGCGGAGAAAACAUGGCUCGUGGCGUUUUCAUUCCCCUGCGGGAUAUGGACAAUCAAUAAAGAAAUAAAUCUAUCAGUCCAGAUGGUAAUAGAUAUUAUGAAGAAAGAGCAGGGACCACCACAGACCCAGAGGAGCACGGGCAGACUCCUUUAGACUCAAGGUGAAGAAGGGCUGCUCGAAGAAGCCGCGUCUGGAGAGCUGUGAAUGGGAAGUGUGUUCCAGGCAGAGGGGCAGCAUUUGCAAAGGCCCUGAGGUGGAAACAAGCUGGGUGCCUAGAGGAACAGCAAGGUGGCUGGAGAGGCAGCAUGGAUAGUGCCUGCGCUGGGUCCCAGGUGGUGCUCUGUGGCCCCUGCUGGGGUCAGAGGAGAAUUUGGAGGUUCUGGAGAAGCUUCCAGCCGGCUGCUCUGUUGUUCUCUGAAUGCAGACCGUGGUGGAGCCCUGUCUUGGCCCGCAGCCGUUAGGAUAUUUCUCAGGGAAAGCCCUUGGACCAAGAAGUCUGUUUUUUCUUUGGAAACUAUGAGACUCUCUGCAAAAACAAAGGAAUUUGGAUUCUGUUCAGGAAAAAUCACUUGCAGCAAGUAAGAUUUGUCAUGCACAUUAUGAUGAUCGGGUUCCUCGUCUGUGAGCUCCUUGACGGUGGGGACUGUGUCUUCUUGCUUGUCCAAGUCUGUGGACGUGCAAAGGGUGUUUGGAUGAAUUCAAGAAAGGAAGAGUGGAACAUUUAGCAUGUCUCCGUUGGUCUCCUGGGACCGCCGUAACACAUCACCACGCAUUCCUGCUGGCUUGGAGCAAUAGGAAUUUCUUCUGUCACAGUUCUGGAGCCUAGAAGUCCAAAACCAAGUUUUGAGCAGGGCCACGCUCCCUCUGAAGGCUCUCGGGGAGAGUCCUCGCUGUCUCUCCCAGCCUCUGGAGGUGGCCGUAGUCCUUGGUGUCCUCGACUUGCAGCUCUAGCAUCUAACUUCUGCCCCCAUCUUCCCAGGGUUUUCUCCCUCUGUGUCUUGACUUUGUCUCCAUCUGUGCAUAUGUCUCCUCUGUUUUCCCUUCUUGUAAGGAGUUAGUUUUCCAAAUCUACAAUUUUCCUUUCAGUAUAACCUCAUCUUAAUUGUGUCUGCUAUGACCCUAUUUCCAAAUAAAGUUACAUUCUGAGA
rnacentral:lncRNA from 1 species